UCUGCUACUUCCUAUCUUACUCAAAUUUAACUGACUGGGCUUCUCAAAUCAUUCUAAUGUGUGGCAAGGGUUGGGACUGAGAAUACAGAAUUUGAGGAGACAGAGAAUCCAAUGGACUUUUGUGGAGAGUUUGAGAACUAAUUUCACCCAUACUGUGGAGACCAUGUUCCUGACAUGUAAACCACACAUAAUUGUCAACCAAUAAGAGGCUUGCAACUAUGCCAGUGAAUGAUUCAGGCCAGAGGGACACUUCCCAUGAGCUUUAGAUAAUGACAGCUCCUGACAUCUAUCAGUAUCUGACACAUUUUGAAGUGAAGUUUGUCCUUUGUGUGUACCUUGGAGUAUGGGAGUGUUGGGAUGAAUUAAACUGGAGAAGCAAAUGUCUUUAUAGGUAUAACACAUCAUAGCCAUUAGAGAUGAAGAUGGAAGCUUAAUAAUAUGCUGGUUUAUCUACAU
rnacentral:lncRNA from 1 species